ACACGUAGGUGACAAGCGUUAUCCGGAUUUACUGGGCGUAAAGGGCGUGUAGGCGGUCUUGCAAGUCAGAAGUGAAAUUCCUGAGCUCAACUCGGGCGCUGCUUCUGAAACUGCAGGACUUGAGUGCUGGAGGGGAUAGCGGAAUUCCUAGUGGAGCGGUAAAAUGCGCAGAUAUUAGGAAGAACACCGGGGGCGAAGGCGACUAUCUGGACAGUAACUGGCGUUGAGGCGCGAAAGCGGGGGGAGCAAACAGGAUGUGAUACCCUGGUUGUCCACGCCGUAAACGAUGAAUACUAGGUGUAGGGGGUAUCGACUCCCUCUGUGCCGCAGUUAACACAAGAAGUAUUCCGCCUGGGGAGUACGGCCGCAAGGUUGAAACUCAAAGGAAUUGACGGGG
rnacentral:rRNA from 1 species